rnacentral:rRNA from 1 species
CACCCGUUCCCAUUCCGAACACGGCAGUUAAGCCUCUCCGGGCCGAUGAUACUGCGCGGGCAACUGCGUGGGAAAGUAGGACGUCGCCGGAU